rnacentral:rRNA from 1 species
CUCUUCUUGAACUUUAUAUGAAGUAUAACCUGCCCAAUGAAUAAAUUUAAUGGCCGCGGUAUAUUGACCGUGCAAAGGUAGCAUAAUCAUUAGUCUUUUAAUUGGAGGCUGGAAUGAAUGGUUGGACGAAAUAAAUUCUGUCUUUAUUUAAUUUAUUUUGAAUUUAAUUAUUAAGUUAAAAAGCUUAAAUUUUUUUAUGGGACGAGAAGACCCUAUAGAGUUUGCAUAAAUUUUUAUUAUAUUUUGGUUUGAUAAGGCAUUAUUUUAUAAAUUUAUUUUGUUGGGGUGAUGGAAAGAUAAUUGUAGCUCUUUCUUUAUUAUAAUUAAUAAUUAUUAUUUAUUUGAUCCAUUAUUAAUGAUUAUAAGACUAAAUUACCUUAGGGAUAACAGCGUAAUCUUUUUUGAGAGUUCUCAUCGACAAAAGGGGUUGCGA